GCACCGAAGCCUGCGGUCAUUUGACUGCUAGGCAAUGUGGUGUUUAGGUUGGUUCUUGGCAUUACUGCUCCACCCUAAGUCCAGCAAUGAGUACGGCUUACUGGAUUGGCCCAUUGAGGGUGAAAGGCCCGUGUGGGUGGAGACCCAGAUUGUCAGUUUUGCCCUGAAUUAACCUUGGAGUCGGGUUGUUUGUGAAUGCAGCCCAAAGUGGGUGGUAAACUCCAUCUAAGGCUAAAUACUGGCACGAGUCCGAUAGCGAACAAGUACCGUGAGGGAAAGUUGAAAAGUACUUUGAAGAGAGAGUAAACAGUUCGUGAACCCGCUCAGAGGUAAACGGGUGGAGUUGAACUGGAAGCCCUGGGGAUUCAGCUGAUGAGUAUGGCAUGAGCUUGGGCAUAUUGGUCGGCUUUCAGAGUCCGCUUAGCUGUGGGUCCUUGCCCUAACGGGUUUGGAUGUGCGUUACGCUCAUUAGGCGUUGUGCGCUCUGUCUGUUCCGGGCCUGCUCGUCAGUGCAAUUCCUCAGGGUGUUCACCACGACCGGCGCUGCUGUCUGUCUGUUGCGGUCAAACCGGUUGGGCUUAGUCAUUUUGGCUAAGUUUGAUCGGGAUGGCAGGUAGCUCUUGAGAUUUUCUGGCUUCGGUUAGUAAAGCUCUUGAGUGUAAUUAGCCGACUGUAAUGGAUCUGUGCAGUGCGUCGGAGCUGGCGGCUUUGGUGUGUGUACGCGUGCUGUACCUUGCUGGCUUGGUCAAGUUUGGUUAAUGUGUUACCUGCUUCGGUGGGUCUAUUAAUGGCUUGACUUUGCAUGGUGAGUGGUGGCGCGUGCGACGCUAUCUAGGGCCAAAAGUCUGUGGUGUUGUGGUAAACUAUCCACCCGACCCGUCUUGAAACACGGACCAAGGAGUUUAACAUGUACGCGAGUCAUUGGGCGUUACGAAACCCAAAGGCGUAGUGAAAGUAAAGGUUCGGCUUGUCCGAGCUGAGGUGAGAUCCUGCUGUUUCUCUGCCUUGGACUACCAAGCAUUCGAGCAGUAGGCGCAUCACCGGCCCGUCUCAUGAUGUAGUCAUAUGACCUUUGGUUGUGUGCACCUUCGGGGCGGAGCUAGAGCGUACACGUUGAGACCCGAAAGAUGGUGAACUAUGCCUGCGCAGGUUGAAGCCAGAGGAAACUCUGGUGGAGGACCGCAGCGAUUCUGACGCGCAAAUCGAUCGUCUAACGUGGGUAUAGGGGCGAAAGACUAAUCGAACCAUCUAGUAGCUGGUUCCCUCCGAAGUUUCCCUCAGGAUAGCUGGCAUUCUGAUAAAUAAACAGUUUUAUCCGGUAAAGCGAAUGAUUAGAGAUAUUGGGGAGAAAUCAUCCUCAACCUAUUCUCAAACUUUAAAUGGGUGAGAAGCUUUGCUCGCUUAAUUGGAGUAAGGCGUUGAAUGUGAGUGCCAAGUGGGCCAUUUUUGGUAAGCAGAACUGGCGCUGUGGGAUGAACCAAACGUUCGGAUAAGGUGCCUAACUCAACGCUCAUGAGAUACCACAAAAGGUGUUGGUUGGUCCAGAC
rnacentral:rRNA from 1 species